ensembl:miRNA
UCUUUCUUUGGUAUUUAAAAGGUGGAUAUUCCUUCUAUGUUUACGUGAUUCAUAGAUAAUCAUAGAGGAAAAUCCAUGUUUUCAGUAUCAAAU